rnacentral:rRNA from 1 species
AAUGAACGCUGGCGGCAUGCCUUACACAUGCAAGUCGAACGGCAGCAUGACCUAGCUUGCUAGGUUGAUGGCGAGUGGCGAACGGGUGAGUAAUGCAUCGGAACGUGCCUUUUAGUGGGGGAUAACGUAGCGAAAGUUACGCUAAUACCGCAUAUUCUCUGAGGAGGAAAGCAGGGGACCUUCGGGCCUUGCGCUAGAAGAGCGGCCGAUGUCGGAUUAGCUAGUUGGUGAGGUAAAGGCUCACCAAGGCAACGAUCCGUAGCGGGUCUGAGAAGAUGAUCCGCCACACUGGGACUGAGACACGGCCCAGACUCCUACGGGAGGCAGCAGUGGGGAAUUUUGGACAAUGGGCGCAAGCCUGAUCCAGCCAUGCCGCGUGAGUGAAGAAGGCCUUCGGGUUGUAAAGCUCUUUCGGCUGGGAAGAAAUCGCACCCUCUAAUACAGGGUGUGGAUGACGGUACCAGCAUAAGAAGCACCGGCUAACUACGUG